rnacentral:rRNA from 1 species
GAUGAACGCUAGCUACAGGCCUAACACAUGCAAGUCGAGCGACCGGCGCACGGGUGAGUAAUCCGUAUACAACCUGCCAUUUACUCGGGGAUAGCUUGUCGAAAGAAUGAUUAAUACACGAUGUAAUGGUUGGGGAUGCGUUCCAUUAGGUUGUUGGUGAGGUACCCGCUCACCAAGCCUUCGAUGGAUCGGGGUUCUGAGAGGAAGGUCCCCCACAUUGGCGCUGCGACACUGUCCAAUCUCCUACGGGAGGCAGGCGUGAGGAGUAUUGGUCAAUGGGCGUUAGCCUGGACCAGCCAAGUGGCGUGAUGGGUGCGUGCUUAUGGGUCGUCGUCUUCUUGUGUGUAAGGAUAGGUAUUAGAUGAAUAAGGAUCGGCUAACUCCGUGCCAGCAGCCGCGGUAAUAC